rnacentral:rRNA from 1 species
UNUGACUUGAGUGCAGAAGGGGAGAGUGGAAUUCCAUGUGUAGCGGUGAAAUGCGUAGAUAUAUGGAGGANCACCAGUGGCGAAAGCGGCUCUNUGGUCUGUCACUGACGCUGAGGCUCGAAAGCGUGGGUAGCGAACAGGAUUAGAUACCCUGGUAGUNCACGCCGUAAACGAUGAGUGCUAGGUGUUAGGCCCUUCCCGGGGCUUAGUGCCGGAGCUAACGCAAUAAGCACUCCGCCUGGGGAGUACGACCGCAAGGUUGAAACUCAAAGGAAUUGACGGGGGCCCGCACAAGCGGUGGAGCAUGUGGUUUAAUUCGAAGCAACGCGAAGAACCUUACCAGGUCUUGACAUCCCGAUGCUAUUCUUAGAGAUAGGAAGUUACUUCGGUACAUCGGAGACAGGUGGUGCAUGGUUGUCGUCAGCUCGUGUCGUGAGAUGUUGGGUUAAGUCCCGCAACGAGCGCAACCCUUAUUGUUAGUUGCCAUCAUUAAGUUGGGCACUCUAGCGAGACUGCCGGUAAUAAACCGGAGGAAGGUGGGGAUGACGUCAAAUCAUCAUGCCCCUUAUGACCUGGGCUACACACGUGCUACAAUGGUCGGUACAACGAGUUGCGAGCCGGUGACGGCAAGCUAAUCUCUGAAAGCCGAUCUCAGUUCGGAUUGGAGGCUGCAACUCGCCUCCAUGAAGUCGGAAUCGCUAGUAAUCGCGGAUCAGCACGCCGCGGUGAAUACGUUCCCGGGCCUUGUACACACCGCCCGUCACACCACGAGAGUUUGUAACACCCGAAGUCGGUGAGGUANCCUUUUAGG